rnacentral:rRNA from 1 species
AUUGAACGCUGGCGGCAUGCCUUACACAUGCAAGUCGAACGGCAGCGGGGGAGAAGCUUGCUUUUCCUGCCGGCGAGUGGCGAACGGGUGAGUAAUACAUCGGAACGUGCCCUGUAGUGGGGGAUAACUAGUCGAAAGAUUAGCUAAUACCGCAUACGACCUGAGGGUGAAAGUGGGGGACCGCAAGGCCUCAUGCUAUAGGAGCGGCCGAUGCAUGAUUAGCGAGUUGGUGGGGUAAAGGCCUACCAAGGCGACGAUCAGUAGUUGGUCUGAGAGGACGAUCAGACAAACGGGGACUGAGACACGGGCCGGAGUCCUACGGGAGGCAGCAGUGGGGAAUUUUGGACAAUGGGCGAAAGCCUGAUCCAGCAAUGCCGCGUGUGUGAAGAAGGCCUUCGGGUUGUAAAGCACUUUUGUCCGGAAAGAAAUGGCUCUGGUUAAUACCUGGGGUCGAUGACGGUACCGGAAGAAUAAGGACCGGCUAACUACGUGCCAGCCGCCGCCGUAA